AAUCAUAUUUAUAGAUAUGGUCUCCCCAAAUAUAUUGCACUGUUAUCCCUAAAGUAACUUACACAUAAAAUCUUUAUUUAAAGGACCCCUUAAUUUUUUUUUAAUACAAAUAAAUUCACUGCCCCAGUGAAUUAAUAUUACCACUAACACCAAUUAAAUACUUUUCAUAAAGCUUUUAGGGUCUUAUCGUCCCCUAAUGUAUUAAAGAAUUAUUACUUUAUAUUUAAUUUACUAUUAAAAUUUACAAACUAAUUAAAUUAAUUAAACCGUUCAUGCUAGUUUUCAAUUAAAAAACAAUUGAUUAUGCUACCUUAGCACG
rnacentral:rRNA from 1 species